GAUGAACGCUGGCGGCGUGCCUAAUACAUGCAAGUCGAGCGAACGGACGAGAAGCUUGCUUUUCUGAUGUUAGCGGCGGACGGGUGAGUAACACGUGGAUAACCUACCUAUAAGACUGGGAUAACUUCGGGAAACCGGAGCUAAUACCGGAUAAUAUUUUGAACCGCAUGGUUCAAAAGUGAAAGACGGUCUUGCUGUCACUUAUAGAUGGAUCCGCGCUGCAUUAGCUAGUUGGUAAGGUAACGGCUUACCAAGGCAACGAUGCAUAGCCGACCUGAGAGGGUGAUCGGCCACACUGGAACUGAGACACGGUCCAGACUCCUACGGGAGGCAGCAGUAGGGAAUCUUCCUCAAUGGGCGAAAGCCUGACGGAGCAACGCCGCGUGAGUGAUGAAGGUCUUCGGAUCGUAAAACUCUGUUAUUAGGGAAGAACAUAUGUGUAAGUAACUGUGCACAUCUUGACGGUACCUAAUCAGAAAGCCACGGCUAACUACGUG
rnacentral:rRNA from 1 species